GGCGGACGGGUGAGUAAUGCCUAGGAAUCUGCCUGGUAGUGGGGGACAACGUUUCGAAAGGAACGCUAAUACCGCAUACGUCCUACGGGAGAAAGCAGGGGACCUUCGGGCCUUGCGCUAUCAGAUGAGCCUAGGUCGGAUUAGCUAGUUGGUGGGGUAAUGGCUCACCAAGGCGACGAUCCGUAACUGGUCUGAGAGGAUGAUCAGUCACACUGGAACUGAGACACGGUCCAGACUCCUACGGGAGGCAGCAGUGGGGAAUAUUGGACAAUGGGCGAAAGCCUGAUCCAGCCAUGCCGCGUGUGUGAAGAAGGUCUUCGGAUUGUAAAGCACUUUAAGUUGGGAGGAAGGGCAGUAAGCGAAUACCUUGCUGUUUUGACGUUACCGACAGAAUAAGCACCGGCUAACUCUGUGCCAGCAGCCGCGGUAAUACAGAGGGUGCAAGCG
rnacentral:rRNA from 1 species